UGGGGAAUUUUGGACAAUGGACGCAAGUCUGAUCCAGCCAUGCCGCGUGCGGGAAGAAGGCCUUCGGGUUGUAAACCGCUUUUGUCAGGGAAGAAACGAGUUUCUCUAAUACAGAGACUUAAUGACGGUACCUGAAGAAUAAGCACCGGCUAACUACGUGCCAGCAGCCGCGGUAAUACGUAGGGUGCAAGCGUUAAUCGGAAUUACUGGGCGUAAAGCGUGCGCAGGCGGUUAUAUAAGACAGAUGUGAAAUCCCCGAGCUCAACCUGGGACCUGCAUUUGUGACUGUAUAGCUAGAGUACGGUAGAGGGGGGUGGAAUUCCGCGUGUAGCAGUGUAAUGCGUAGAUAUGCGGAGGAACACCGAUGGCGAAGGCAAUCCCCUGGACCUGUACUGACGCUCAUGCACGAAAGCGUGGGGAGCAAACA
rnacentral:rRNA from 1 species